ACUUCUAUUAUAACUAGACUGCGGAUGUUCGAUGUGUUGUGAAGCAACGGCUGGGGGCGGGACAUGGGACGAUUUUUGGGCGGAAGAAGGAAGUAGAGCGCCUUUUCCCAUUAUUCUCAAUGGUGGGCUUGAAGCCAUAUAGCUCCUUGCCAAUUCUUGCCAAGUCGGCUCUGUUUCGUUCCUACGAUAGUUUCCCCUCCCUUCCAAACAGCCCAGAUAUUUUUUUCGGGCUGACCCUGUAUUUAAGAGAGCUAUUAAAAUAGUUUAAAUGACCAAUGAGCAUGGCUAUUUGGGUUGAUUGGCAGUUGACAUUCUUUAGAAUUAUUGUUUUGAUUGACAGGCAGGCCGUCGUCAAGGCGAAGGACGACUCUCGCGCCGUCUCCAGGGGAAGCCCCCUCCCUGCUGCAUUACUUUCAACAGCUUCAGCACUGCCAUGGGUUAUUUAAUUUUGGUACACUUUCCCCACAAAUAUGCGUUGUUGUACUUUUGGAUGUACUUCUCCGUAUUCUGUAAGGACCUCUGCAGUUUUGGUGUUUUGCCCCUGCGGUUGUGAGGAGGAUGCUGUGUAGGUGGCAGCGUGAACGUGUCACACAGACAUUGGCUAAACUACUCGGCUUCUACACUUGCCCUCAGAGUUCACAUAUGGUUAAGUGCACAGGUGUCCAUCCAGGUUCAGACUGAUGCUGGUAACAAGAGGAAAACAUGCUGAUUGGCAAACAACAAACCACACUUCACCUGGAAAACAGAGCCAGG